AAACUUAUCUCGAUAUCAUAAAGGUUAUGUGUGACAAACCCAAGGCCAACAUCAUACUCAAUGGAGAAAAACUGAAUACUUUUCUUCUAAAAAAAGGAACAAGGCAGAGAUUACCACCCUCACCAUUCCUAUUCAACAUAUUCUUUGAAAACUUUGCUAGCGCAAUCAGGUAAAAGAGGAAAUUAAAGUGAUACAAUAGGAAAAAAAGAAGUCAAAUUAUCACUGCUUGCUGAUGACAUAAUCUUAUAAUUAAUAAACCCCAAACUCACCAAAAGACCUUUAGAGAUGAUAAACAAACUUUAAUAAAGUCAGAGGAUACAAGCUGUAUGUACAUAAACUGAUACCUUUCCUAUAUAUCAAUAAUGAAUCUGCUCAAAAAAUUAGGAGAACUACUAUCCCAUUAACAAUAACUUUGGAAAAAUACUUGGGAAUUAAUUGAAUGAAGGAAGUGGAGGACCAGUACAAUGAGAAGAUUAUAGCACUGAAGAAAGACUUGAAAGAUGGAAAGAGCUCCUGUGUUGUGGAUAGUCAAAUUUAAUAUUGUCAAAAUGACCAUAUUAACAAGAAUAUUAUACAAAUUUAAUACAAACCCCAUCAAAAUACAUUAUUCACAGAACUAGGAAAAAGUUCUUAAAUUAAUUUGGAAGAAUAACAUGUCAAGAAUGGCCAAAGCAACCCUGAGCCAUGCUGGAGGAAUCACAGUGAACCUAAAAUUUUACUACAGAAUAACAAAAAUAUCAUGGUAUUGGCAUCAUAACAGACCUGAAGACAAAAGGAAUAGAAUAGGAAACAUGAGACAAACCCCCAUAGAUAGCCAUCUGAUGCUUGAUAAAGAUGGAAAACACAUACAUCAGAGAAAAGAUACCCUUUGUAACAAAUGGUGCUCAAAAAGUUGGAUAUUCAUAUGUAGAAGACUGAAAGUUGACCCCUGUUCAUCAAAGUAAACUCAAAGUGGACCAAAGAC
rnacentral:lncRNA from 1 species